UACGUAGGGCGCAAGCGUUGUCCGGAAUUAUUGGGCGUAAAGAGCUCGUAGGCGGCUUGUUGCGUCGACCGUGAAAACCCGUGGCUUAACUGCGGGCUUGCGGUCGAUACGGGCGGGCUGGAGUUCGGUAGGGGAGACUGGAAUUCUUGGUGUAGCGGUGAAAUGCGUAGAUAUCAAGAGGAACACCUGCGGCGAAGGCGGGUUGCUGGGCCGACACUGACGCUGAUGCGCGAAAGCUAGGGGAGCGAACGGG
rnacentral:rRNA from 1 species